rnacentral:lncRNA from 1 species
AAAAUAAAAGCGAGUGCGCAAAAUAAAUAAAAUAAAAGGGAGUGCGAAAAAUAAAUAAAGUAAAGCGAGUGCGAAAAAUAAAUAAAAUAAAAGCGUAGGCAGAAAGUAAAUAAAAUAAAAGAGAUGCGGAAGAUAAAUAAAUAAAGCGAUAAAUAAGAACAUGCUCCAAAUGGAGGGCUUUAAAUCUGGUACAAAAAUAAACCUCCGACUCCUAAAGCUAAAGAUGACAACAACUCGAAGUGACCCAACUCAAUCUCACUAAGGUGCG